AGGCUUCUGCCAUGCCACAGAGAGGACAUGUUCUGCCCCAGGCCAUCUCGCUCCAGGCCAAGGCUAGAUACCAAGUGGAGAGCGCAGUGGGGGAGGAUGGCCACGCACUGCGCAUCUGAGGUGUUCCCCAGUCACCUCCAGCACUUCUCCCAGCACCCUGCCUUGAGGAUGAGCUGAAGUCAGAGCCUCCCCAGUACUAGGAGACAUGGCCAUCCCAUCCUUGCUCUCACAACCAACAUCGAGAAAAGGAAGGCACAGAGAGGGCACACUACCUCCCCAGCGUCACACAGCAAAUCGGGGACAGGGAUAGGUCUCCCCACUAACCAGCUGAGGAUUUGGAGGGCAAUUACCAGAAGACAAGGCAGUAUUUGAGGCACAGUGUGGACGCCAAUGUCAUGGACUUCCAUACAUUAGUGAUUUGCGGCCACUGAUGAGAAUAUUUCAAACUGAGACUAUUUUAGAAAAAUCCUUAUUUUACGUAUUUUGUCAUUGUAUUAAUAAGAGUAAUAAUAACAAACCCUUUCACAGACCCCACUACAUGCCAUGCAUCAUUCUAAACACUUUACCUAUAUUAACUCACUUGAUCCCCACAACAACCUUCACGGUAAGCACUAUCAUUAUCCCCAUUUUACAGGUGACAAGACAGAAGCACAGAGAGGUUAAGGAGCAAGCCCAAGGUCACACAGCCAGCAAGUGAGCAAGCCAGAAUUCAGCCUGACUUGGGGAUGUUUCUGUCUUCCUGGACUAAGCAUAAACUCCUGAAGCAGCAGGCAAGAUUGGAAACGAACCAGCAUUCACCCUCUCUGCAGUAUGUACAUUACAGUAUCCACGUCUUAGAAGGGAAGGAACCACACUUCUAAGGUACAAUGCAGAUGUUUCCACGGCUCUCCACUGUGCUCCCUCUGGUUGUUGUCCACUGAGCUCAACAACUCUUUGGCCACCCGGUUCUAUGCAUCUGUUGUGUGCCUGGCCCUGUGACAGGACCCGCAGGUACAAGCUCUGCCUUCCAGGCCGUUCAGGAGAAACCUGAGGUCCAGAGAGGCAACAUGACCUGCCCAAAGUCACACAGCCGAUUAGUUGAAGAAUCAGGGCAAGCACCCUGGUGUCCUGACUCCAGAACCCCAUGCCAUCACUCAGCAUCACCUUGACCAUGAGGCAUGGUCGAGGAAGGAGUCUUGAGGACGUGCUCUAAGUGUUCAGCAGAAGUGGAGGGAAGGGAGCCUAACUGCUGGAACAGCCCAUGUCAAGGCCAUGAACGUCUUUCCUGGAGAACAAGGACCUGUAAGGUGCCUGCAGAGGUUUGGUGGGGCAGAGGAUGAGGUCGUUUUCUCAUAUUGAAUAUUUGCAUUCGGCUCUUAUUUUUAAUGCUCUCUCAUUCUACUUUAUGUUGUUAAGGUUUUUCCUUAUUUCUCUUGUAUGUUUCUAAUGUUUGUUUA